UACGUAGGGAGCAAGCGUUGUUCGGAAUCACUGGGCGUAAAGGGCGCGUAGGCGGCCUUGCAAGUCGGUUGGUGAAAGCCCGGGGCUCAACCCCGGAGGUGCGGCCGAGACUGCAGGGCUGGAGGCCGGAAGAGGAGGGUGGAAUACCCAGUGUAGAGGUGAAAUUCGUAGAUAUUGGGUGGAACACCGGUGGCGAAAGCGGCUCUCUGGUCCGGACCUGACGCUGAGGCGCGAAAGCUAGGGUAGCAAACGGG
rnacentral:rRNA from 1 species